UAGCUCAGUUGGAAGAGCGUGUACCUUGUGUGUAAAGGGCCCUGGGUUCAAUCCCCAG
rnacentral:tRNA from 1 species